UGGCACUGGCUUACAAACGGCCUGGCCACUACUGCUGGAGGAAGCAACUACCACAGUCAUCAGCUCAUGACUACGACUACCACACCAUCGACCUCAACAUCGAGGACAACGACUACACCGACCAACAUAGACUCGGUUCACUGCGCUCGGUGACCACGCUGGGAGGAGCAACAGCGGCUACCAAACAGAUGCAUUGACAGUUUCCUGUUGGUCACACCGACCGAAGCAUGCUUGACUAAGGGCACUGGCUAAGAAAAGAGUGUGGGGCUCUACUGCUGGGGGAAGCGGCUACCAACGCCGCCAGCUACUGUUGCACGUGACUACGACUAGCACACCAUCGACCUCGACAACAGCUGGCUAGGAAAGGACAGCGACUACGCCAAACAAAGCAACGGCGGCUAUCCUAGGGAUGUAUUCUUUUCCUAUUCCUCUAUUCCUAGUCCUUGCUAUCCCUCGCUAAAUCGGCAGCCAUACUUUUAACAUGUUACAAACGUCGAAGGCUUAGAUAUAUAAACUUUACUUUUUGUGUAAAUUUGUCAAACAAAUGAAUUAGAUGCAAAGUUGCAAACGUAAAGGGCUUACAAAAAUCUUUUCGUUUUGUGGUUGAUAAAAAUACAUGAAAACCUGUGAAAUAAACAUAAAUCUGAACGAAAAUAGGAGUAAACACGAUGCCACUAGUUCAGUAGCCUCGCUAGUAGGUCUGUGUCCACCGCUCUCCGCACCAAGUGCAUGGUGUACAAUGGCGGGGGCAUCAGCCACACGGCAUCUGGAACUAACCAAUACGAGUUAUAAAUAUAAGGGGCAACAAAAUGCUUAUGCAUGGAUGUGGUUGCAAAGAAAUUCACAAAACCUUUGAGGGAAAAGUCUGAAUAAUAGUGAGAGAGGCAGCCACAAGGCAUAUCCAUGAAAAGUGAAAAACUUAAGAGCGCUUGCACAAACUUGGAAAUUUAUGUAGUCAAGAAAACAAAUCAUUACAUUCUUACGAAAAACAGAACUGUAUGAAAUAGAAAUGAGAAGAUGCCUGUACUUCGCAUUCAGUCUGUCGACAACUUCUCGCACAAAGCGAAGCAAACUGGCAUCUCACGAUUUUAACCGUUGAUUGCUUUAAGGCAGCAAAGUGCUUACCCUGUAUGUGGUUAAUAUAAAAUUAUUUAAGAAAACCUAAAGUGAAAUGAUCUCUAAAACGAAAAUGAAAAAGAGGCUUGCACUUUGUCAUGCUGGUAGGUCUGUGUUGACCGUUUCCUGCACUAAUGGCGGAAGCGGCAGCCACGUGGCAUCUGGAACUAUCCAAUAAAGUUAUAAACAUAAGAGGCAACAGGUGUAGGGUCUGAAGCUGUGUGCGUUAAAGGGAUAUUAUAGUUUGUUGUUUGCUUUGAUUUUGGUGGGUUUUUUUUUGGGGGGGGGGCGGUGUAUUGUUGUUUUUGCGUUUGUUGAUAUUAGUGUCAAGUGUGGAGUGGCGAGUGACGUCACCGUGUGAGUGGCUAGCUCCGCCCACAGGUUCGCCAUGUUUGUUAUGGUCGUCAAGGGUUACGCCAUGAGAACUCUGUGCACUGCAACUAACCAAUAAAGAGUCAAAAACAUAAGGGGUAACAAAUAUUUGAGUUAGAAACAAAACUGCAAAGAGAAAGGGAUACAAAAUCCUUCCUUUUGUGGUUGGUAAAAAAAAAAAAACUCUUUAAAUCUGUAAACUAAACACAGAUGUAUAAAAUGUGAGUGAACACGACGCCUCCAUGUGGCCAUGCUAUGACUCAACUCAGAAUGGCAGAAGUAGCUGCCAACUGGCAUCUGAAACUAAACAACAAAGAGUUCUAAACAUGUGGUUGCAAAAGAAUUCAGAAAACCUUUGAUGGAAAGUUGUACUUAUUAGAAUGAAUACGAUGCCUACACUUCGCCAUGCUAGUAGGAACUGACCAAUUCAAAAUGAAAUGUUGGGGAUGUCGUCUAUCAGGGAGAGCACACUAACCAGCGCAACGAAAAUUCUAGCAGUGGGUCACGUGGCCCCCUGACCACGCCACCUAUGCAACGUCCGGCUGUUCAGUUAACAGACGAUUGCUCGUAUUAAAAUUGUUCUUAUUCUAGAAAGCAGAUUAUCAUUAUAGUUUUCUUCUUUCCUUGUGCUAACCAGUUAUUUCUAACGAUAAAGACUUAGUGGUGUGGCACAUGUAUAUAUGUGCUAUUGAGUAUGAACUUUAUGUGCAGCUUAAUACAUCAGAAAUUAAAAAAAUGUCUAUGAGUGAGAGGAUAGAAAGCGAUAGUAGUAAAGACUAGUACACGUGCUGAUUGCUUUAAAGAAUGAGGAAACCGGAAUGAGAAGCAGUUACUGCCAUCUCUGUGUUAAUGUAGUGCACAUACCUACAUUGUUUAUGAUUUAAAGAAAAUGUAUAAGUGCAUUGCCCAAAUCACUUUCAGUGAUGUUUUCUGAUUAAUUUAUUUUCUGCAGCUGAAAUCCUGUAUUUGAGACUUAAGAAGGCAAGGGAAAGGCAGGCAAAAACCAAGAAUGCCAUCAGAGCAUGAAAGCAAGUAUGGCCAGAAAACUGCGUAACAUCUCUCAAAGAAACUAAAGGCAAUCAUCACUCAACUUCAGGCUGUUGCUAAUUUGCUGAAAGAUCAGGGCACCACCGUUUCUAUGGCCCAGCUUUGAGACCCAGGCCCACUUGCGAAUCCCUUCACACAACAAGGAGCCAGUGAGGACAGUCAACGGCGGUGGAAUGCUUUCAAGUCCAUGAAGAGGAUUUAGUGAUCUUCCAGAACUUCAAAAUGUUAACAUUGACUGCUCCAUUUCCAGUUGGCUUUUCAACCUUAGUGUCCAUCAAUCAAGCACCACUUCUUCAUAAUUCGUGUGCCCAGUGUGAAGUAACAGACAUUAUUAUGUGGACUUUGAUAUAGAUUGAGAUGCUGCUGAAGUGACUUUGCCAUAAGUAACUUUUCAUCUGUGUUUUUCUGUAACUGAUGCUAAAACUUCGCUGCGCCUCUCCCCACAACUAACUUUUGACACCACAAAUGGAGUCUGGUUGUCCGGCAGGAUCCAAUCCUUUCCAUGGCUCCACAACCCCAAUGCGGUCUGCAGCACUAACUACUCGAACACGUUUCGGUCGUGAGGUUAAAAUACCCAAAAUGGAAGACUUUGUGUAUGGACUGUACGACCUGUGCAUGAAUGUGUGUCACAACAAUGACGAACAGUACUAACGUUCGAAACCGUGACUAAUCCUCGACUUAGCUCGCGUCGCUUUUCUUAAUUUUCUUAUUUGUUUGUGUUGAUUUGUUUAUUGAACCUUUUAAACGGGAUGUUACAAUAUCUUACUGUCCCUUGUUUUCCACUCGUGUGUGUGUGUGUGUGUGUCCGAGUUAUCUAAUAAAAUACAUAACAGCUUGUC
rnacentral:lncRNA from 1 species